AAAUAACAGACGCAUAUUCAUUUUUCUCACAAGUUAACAAAAUGGUUUAUAGGCAUGUUACAGAAUUGAGCCAAGGGAAGGCAGCAAGUCCUCUAACCUAGCAUAUAUGUAUACCUACCGGUAUAGUGAAUCACUUGGUAUAUACAUUAAGAAAUGAAACACAUUGCAGAGAGUUUGUCAAGAUCUAUUUUUCCUUGACACAGUACAUAUUUCAUGGAAUCUCAUAGUUUGUUUCAUUCUAAAAACUAGCAUCCCCAAAACAUUACCAUAAACUUUAUUACAUUAUCUUCUCUGCAGGAUUUCCAAUGAUAUGUAGAUCUUGAAUUGCCCUUGUUUGCCAAUAUCCUUGACAAAGGAUUGGAACCUCGGUAUCACUUGAGAAAAUUGGAUAGUGAGAAAGAUUAUGAAUUUGUGGUUGAUUUGAACUAUAGUUGCAUGGUCAGGUUGCUUUGAGACUUUCUUGUUUGGAACUUGCUAAUGAUGAGACAGGAAAAUCAUGUACAUUGAAGUAUGUCUUGUUGAACAUGAGAUUUGUAAGGGCUCUGUCAAUGGCGUUGGUUUCCAAUUCCAUAGUUUUCUUUCGUCCAGGCCUCAUUUUGUCUUCUUGACAUGUCCAUGGGGAGCUUUCCAUGGAAAGGUUUCCAUUUCGGUCCCAUGUCACAUGUUGGCUUGAGGUAUUGGCCAGACGGUAAAAGGCAUCACGAAA
rnacentral:misc_RNA from 1 species